GGAAGUAAAAGUCGUAACAAGGUUUCCGUAGGUGAACCUGCGGAAGGAUCAUUACUGAGUUAGGGUCUUCCAGGCCCGAUCUCCCAACCCUUUGUUUACCAAACCGUUUUGUUGCUUCGGCGAGCCCGUCUUCACGGACCGCCGGGGGACCUGUCCAGGACCCCUGGCCCGCGCUCGUCGAUGGCCCAAACCUUUAAAUUCUUAACUAAACGUGUCAUGACUGAGUACCAAUUUUUAAUUAAAAGCAAAACUUUCAACAACGGAUCUCUUGGUUCUGGCAUCGAUGAAGAACGCAGCGAAAUGCGAUAAGUAAUGCGAAUUGCAGAAUUCCAGUGAGUCAUCGAAUCUUUGAACGCACAUUGCGCCCUCUGGUAUUCCGGGGGGCAUGCCUGUUCGAGCGUCAUUACACCACUCAAGCCCAGCUUGGUAUUGGGAGGCCGCCCCGGCUGGGGUGCCCCCGAAAAUCAGCGGCGGUGCGGCCGGACUUCCCAGCGCAGUAGCAUUACGAAUCUCGCUGCAGCGAAGCCGUCCGCCCCGGCCGGAUAAGCACGCUUCCCGCCCCGCGGGAACGCAUCUUCAAUGGUUGACCUCGGAUCAGGUAGGGAUACCCGCUGAACUUAAGCAUAUCAAUAAGCGGAGGA
rnacentral:rRNA from 1 species